rnacentral:rRNA from 1 species
AUUAAACGCUGGCGGCAUGCCUUACACAUGCAAGUCGAACGGCAGCACGGGGGCAACCCUGGUGGCGAGUGGCGGACGGGUGAGUAAAGCAUCGGAACGUAUCCUGGAGUGGGGGAUAACGUAGCGAAAGUUACGCUAAUACCGCAUAUUCUGUGAGCAGGAAAGCAGGGGAGUCGCAAGACCUUGCGCUCUGGGAGCGGCCGAUGUCGGAUUAGCUAGUUGGUGGGGUAAAGGCCUACCAAGGCGACGAUCCGUAGCGGGUCUGAGAGGAUGAUCCGCCACACUGGGACUGAGACACGGCCCGGACUCCUACGGGAGGCAGCAGGUGGGGAAUUUUGGACAAUGGGCGGAAGCCUGAUCCAGCCAUGCCGCGUGAGUGAAGAAGGCCUUCGGUUGUAAGACUCUUCGUCGUGGAAGAAGUACG